UACAGGUAGACGGGAUGAGUAUUCUAAGGCGCUCGGGUGAGCCGUGGAGAAGGAACUAGGCAAAUUGACGCUGUAACUUCGGGAUAAAGCGUACCAUCUUCGGAUGGUCUCAGUAAAAUGGUUCAACCAACUGUUUAACAAAAACACAGGGCCCUGCAAAAUCGAAAGAUGACGUAUAGAGCCUGAUACCUGCCCGGUGCCGGAAGGUUAAGGAAGGAUGUUCGACGCAAGUCAAAGCUUCUGACUGAAGCCCCGGUAAACGGCGGCCGUAACUAUAACGGUCCUAAGGUAGCGAAAUUCCUUGUCGGGUAAGUUCCGACCUGCACGAAUGGUCUAAUGAGUUGAACGCUGUCUCCUCCACGAGCCCGGUGAAAUUGUAGUAUCGGUGAAGAUGCCGGUUACCCGCCACGGGACGGAAAGACCCCGUGAACCUUCACUACAACUUUGCAUUGAUUUUGAAUUACGGAUGUGUAGAAUAGUUGGGACUCUUUGAAGCAGUGGCGCCAGCCAUUGUGGAGAGGUCGUUGAAAUACCAACCUUCUUUGAUUUAGAGUCUAAUCCCUUGCGGGAAACAGUGCAUGGUGGGUAGUUUGACUGGGGUGGUCGCCUCCUAAAGAGUAACGGAGGCUUGCAAAGGUACCCUCAGUACGGUUGGUAAUCGUACGAAGAGCGCAUUAGUAUAAGGGUGCUUGACUGUGAGGCAUACAAGCCGAGCAGGGACGAAAGUCGGCUAAAGUGAUCCGGCGGUUCUGUAUGGAAGGGCCGUCGCUCAAAGGAUAAAGGGUACUCCCGGGAUAACAGGCUGAUCUCCCCCAAGAGCUCAUAUCGACGGGGAGGUUUGGCACCUCGAUGUCGGUUCGUCACAUCCUGGGGCUGGAGAAGGUCCCAAGGGUUCGGCUGUUCGCCGAUUAAAGUGGCACGUGAACUGGGUUCAGAACGUCGCAAGACAGUUCGGUCCCUAUCUGUGGUGGGCGCAAGUAAAUUGAGAGGACAUGACCUUAGUACGAGAGGACCGGGUCGUACGUACCGCUGGUGUAUCGGUUGUGCCGCCAGGUGCAAUGCCGAGUAGCUAUGUACGGCAAGGAUAAACGCUGAAAGCAUCUAAGCGUGAAACCUUCCUUAAGAUGAGUUUACUUUUAAGGGUCGUCAGAGACUAUGACGUUGAUAGGCUAUAGGUGUAAAGGUGGUAACAUCAAAGCCGAGUAGUACUAAUUGCCCGUAAGCUUUAAUAA
rnacentral:rRNA from 1 species